UCCACUUCAUUACACGUGGGUCAUAGGUGUCCUCCAUGCCCACUUCCGUCCCUUUUAUCAAAAUCCAUUCAAUCUACCAAAGCUCAAAGCUUUCUUCAUCUUCAACUUUCUCACACUCACACGUUGCUGCAAUUCUAAGGGAUCGAAGUGGAAAUAAGAGUUCGAGCAUUUAUCUUUGCUCUCUUCUAUCAUUUGGUGGAAAGAGGAUGUAAGAGACUAUUAGACACUUGCCUUUUGGUUUUAUGUGUUUCACCGCAACAAAGCAUUUGAAAAUUUCUCUAUCAUCAUCUUUGUUUCUGUUUGCCCUGCAAUUCUGAAAUUUUAGCUACUACCUUGGGUCCUUGCACUAGUUUUUUUUAAAAGUUGGGUUGAAGAAUGAUGUCCAACCCUUUAAAAAGGAAAUCUCAACAUCUAUUUUGUCAAUCAUGCAUCACAAAGUUGCAAUGAUAAUUAAGAAAAUCAAGAUGACUACCACCAAAGUAGUAAUGGGACGCUUUACUAUUUCACCUUUAGGGAUAUCAGCUUCUAUAAAUAUGUAAAUAUAGACUCUGCAUUUGCUAUUUUACAUUUUGCAAUAUCAGCUUAAUUAUGUAAAUACAUAUAUAAAUUGUGCAAUCAUAAGCGCAAUGCAUAUAGAAUGUGUGUAGUCGUUUACCAUGAAAUGUUCUUCAACAACUACUUUGUUCUAUUUUUUUAGCUGUUUCCUUACAAGUAUU